rnacentral:lncRNA from 1 species
GGCAGACAGACCGACAAGCGACUCAGUUCCUCAAGCCUCGGGCUCCCCAUCUGAAAUAUGGGGAUAGGAAUCGGGGCACUGCUUCUAGGGGGUCGCAAGGAUGAGGCACACAGUCUGGGCGCCGGGCACAUAGCCAGCGCUCAGGACGAUGCGCAGGUACAUGCCCAGGUGCACAGAGGAGGGGCGAGGGGCUCCGUCAGGUUGGGAAUCUUCCCAUCCUGUGUCUGCUCUGGACAAGCUGGGCUGACCACAUGGACAAGGGCACCCUGGCGGAGGGCACAGGACGUCUGGAAACACUGAGGCCUGAGAAAGCCCGUGGACUCAGAGGCUGGGGCAUGGGCCCGAGUGCCAAAGGGCCUGGAGAGCCGGGCAGCAGAGCAAGAGCGGCGGCCCGCCCUAGCUUUCCUCCUGGGAGUCUCCUCAUCUCCUGCUGCCUGCUGGAUAGCGAGGACCAGCUGGCUCGAGGGCCUGGGCUAACGUUUCCACUCAGGAGUUCCAAGUUACCUGGAAGAACUCGGCAAGUGCCCAGUAGUGAGGGUUCAGAAGUGUCAAUUUGGGACCCUGUCCUGCCCCUCAAGGGUGUCCUGGUUUUCUGCCCCUGCUGCAGCGAUGCUGUGAGAAGAAAUAAAAGCAUCUCUGGGAGCCCUGAAAGCAUCGUUGGCCUGGCCCUGAGCCUGCUGUGCCUCAGGGAAACGUGGGCCUGCUAGAGGACCCCCAACCUCAACAUCCCAGACUCGCUGGGCAAGCUCCCCUGUUAACCUGGAGACGCCCCACCUCCAUCCAGGCUGUGACCCCAAGCGAGGCUGAGUGUCAUUCAUCACUGCCGCAGCCCGGAGCCCUCUCUUCACAGGGAAGGACACUGAGAUCCGGAGAGUUGCCUGCCUUGCCCAAGGCCCUGCUGUGGAUCCAGAGCCCAGAUUGCUUUUCCCCUGGAGCAAACUAAAUCUUGGAGAUCUUGCCCUGUCAGGAGGUUGAAAUCUACCUUAUGACCUGCAACUGCCGCGGAGGACAUGGGGCCGCAGAGGACUGCCGAGACAGGAAUUCUCAUGCCCAUUUUACAGAUGAGGAAGUUGAGGCUCAGAGAGGGUGAGUGACUUGCCCGGGGUUGUCCCCACCCACGUGAGGGUCAGGGUCUGGUGGCACCUGAGAGGGGGAGGCAUGACAGGUGAGUAUGGGGCACAGAGAAAGGGGUGGCCGACGAGGGAGACCAAGGCCAGAGCCCAGAUGCCAGAGGGAGGAAAUGGGGCCCUCUGGGAACCUCAGUGGUUCUGGCUGUAAUUCGAGCUGAGUGCCCCACCGGAUGCUGAGGCGUUCCUUAGGCACUGUCCAGCUACACGCUCUCCCUCCUCCGGGCCCCUGACUCCCCUGAGCCUCCGUGGCCUGGGUGCUUGGGGUUGGGAGAUGUCCGAAUGGGCCCUGCCCUCUAGGACACACGACCUGUGCCCCCUUCCAUGCCGGGUGGGCCCAGGUGCAGGGCCAGGUGCUGCUGCCCGCAUCCCUCAUGGGAGAGCAUCAGUUCUCACCACCAUACCAGCGCUGGGUGGCCUCUGCUGGGCACCCGUCCCCAAGUCUGGGGUCAGGGUGAGGCACAUGCCGGGGAGGCCAGGCCACCUGGGCGGGCUGAGGGUGUGACUUGCAGUGCUUCCCAUGUAGGCCCAGGCAGCCAAGGCCCUAAUUACGCAGGCUUCCCGAGGAGGAGGAAGAACGAGGGGAAGUGGCCCCAGCCUCCUUACGCACUGUUUCCUCCUGACUCACUGCUGACCCGCUUGCCAGCCGGAAGUCACCAAAUUUCCCCAAACUUAUGGGUACCUGCCAGGUCAUGGGCCUGGUCCCAUUCUCCCCAGACGGGCCCGCCUCAGCUGACCUACCUCCCAGGCAUUUGGCUGAAAGAGGCCAAGCAGGGUGAUCCUGAGGAGCUGGGGAGGCAGGUGGGGGCGGGGAGACACUCAGGGUAUGGCCAGGGUGUGUCCUCGGUGCCAGCGCCCCACACAGCGUCCUUGGCCUGGUUUCCCCAGGGCAGCGCUCACCUGAUCACCUUGUGCCAGUCUCCUUGGAGGCCACCGGCUUAUUCACAAGGCCACUUGUGCCCAGUGGCCAAAGGGCACCAUAGCCAGUAGGGUCUGCCUGCCCUCCCAUCACAAAGGGUCCCAGAGAGGAGGCGCCCUACCCCACAGGGCCUUGGGCUUGGUCUGCAGGUCCUGUGCACCCCAGGCCCUCCUGCUCUGCUGGCCGUGUGGCCUGGACAGGCUGCCUCUGGUCCCGGGCUUCUUAACCUGUGCAACGGAGAUCCUCAGAUCUACCUUGUGCAGCUGUUGCCUGGAUCAGAUGGAACCCUGUGUUCAGAAGGCAUGGGGUGGUGCUGGCUGCAGGCUGCUGCCCUGGGGCUUUCUGAGCCGCAUCCCCAGGGCCAUCAAAUCCUGUGGGGCUCGCUUGUGGAGUUCCCAGUCUGCCUGCAGAGCAGAAUCUCUUGGGAGAUUUUAAACAGAUUUCACUUUGUGUCAAAUCCUGUUCAUAUUUUACACGUCCAACAUUCUACAGAAGAGGACAGAAUUUGUGGUGCCCCGGGUCCCCACAUCCAUGACCAGCCCACGUCCAUCUUGUUUAUUUAUACUCUGCCAACUACUUCCUUUCUUCCUAUUGGAAUCAACCCAAGGAGGUAUUUUUUAAGUACAAGUGCCAGAUUCUCACCUCCAGGAAUUUAAUCGAGUCAUCCAGGCCCAGAAAAAGGGUAUUUCCGCAAAGCUCCGGGAGACGUGGAGGUGCAGCCAGGGCCCGCCUGCGGGGCAGGGAGACCUGGGGCGCUGCCUCCAGAGGGUCUGGGAGACGUGGUGAGACCCCAGAGCAGUGGGGACAGACUCGAGGGGUGCACAGCACCUCCACUCCAGACGAGGAGAGAAACCACACGUGGAGACAGAUCCCACCCCAUGCCCACCUCAGGGUCUGAGAGGGAGAGGCCGACUCCCUCUUGGCUGCCUGGAGAGGCUGCUGACAGAGCCGUCAAUCCCACGCUCUGGGGAGAGCAAAGACCUGUGUGGACAAACCCACCCAGGAGAGUGGUUAACUGGCCAACCGCAAGGCUGCACAUUCCCGGGGGACUGAGCCAGCCGGUUCCUAUCAAAGGAGAGCCUGGCGCUGGCAGAGCUGGCGACAAAGGAUGCUUUGUUCCCCCGUUAAAAUAAACACUUCCCCUGGAUGUUUACUCCCACGUCUCGAAUGUAAUAUGGGGUGUAAGUUACUCUUUAACAGCUGACUUGGUCCAGGCCACCGAACUCUCCUGCACUAAUUUCCUGGAAGAAAGGCGUUCCCACCACCAACCCAGGUGUUUAUUAACCACGCCCCUUGGCGGUCAAGGAGAAGCUGGGUGCGGCUGUCACCUCUGAGAACCCGUGUGUCCUUGGGGGGCCACCCUCAGCCUUCCCUGAAGAACCAGUAGCGAGUUGACCAGUGAGUCCUCGGCUGUCUGGACAGGGAAACUUGAGGCUAGUGGGGUAGUUUUCCUCUGUGAGGUGAGAAACCUGUCUGUUCAGUCCCCACUUUGAGAGAACACAGUCGACCUAGGCUCCUGGGGAAAGUGGGCAUCCGGCUGGCCAGGCCGGCCCCCAGCACCAGGGCCCAGCGCACACCCACUGCAACUAUUACCAG